GACGAACGCUGGCGGCGUGCUUAACACAUGCAAGUCGAACGGAGUGGCGAACGGGUGAGUAACACGUGGGUGAUCUGCCUUGCACUUCGGGUUAAGCUUGGGAAACUGGGUCUAAUACCGGAUAGUGCAAGAUGAGCUCGCGGCAUAUCAGCUUGUUGGUGGGGUAAUGGCCUACCAAGGCGUCGACGGGUAGCCGGCCUGAGAGGGUGUACGGCCGCAUUGGGACUAAGAUACGGACCAGAAUCCUACGGGAGGCAGGUGGGGAGAAUAUUGCACAAUAGGCGGAAGCCUGAAGCAGCGGCGCGGCGAGGGGGAAGAAGGCCUUCGGGUUGUAAACUCCUUUCGACAGGGACGCGGUACCUGUAUAAGAAGCACCGGCUAACUACGUGCCAGCAGCCGCGGUAAUUC
rnacentral:rRNA from 1 species